rnacentral:rRNA from 1 species
GACGAACGCUGGCGGCGUGCCUAAUACAUGCAAGUAGGACGCAGAUGCGAACGGGAGAGUAACGCGUAGGUAACUACCUAUUAGUGGGGGCUAACUAUUGGAAACGAUAGCUAAUACCGCAUACUAGUAGAUGGACCUGCGUUGUAGUAGAUCGUAGGUAGGGUAAUGGCCUACCUAGGAAACGGUACAUAGCCGACCGGAGAGGGUGAGCGAGCACACGUGUACUGGAGCACGUCCCAGACUCCUUCUGGGAGCAGCAGUAGGGAAUCUGCGGCAAUUGGGGGAACCCUGACCGAGCAACGCCGCGUUAGAGGAGAAGGUUUUCGGAGCGUAAAGCUCUGUUGUUAAGGAAGCGGUACUUGACCAGAAAGGAACGGCUAACUACGUGCCAGCAGCCGCGGUAAUAC